AAAAAUGAGAAUACAGAAAAUCUUAAAAGUGGCAUUUCCAUCCUAACGAUGCUUUUAAACAAAAGUUUGACUCGGGUACAUUCACAAAAAGACCCUAGAUUGCAUUUUGCAGAGAGUUACACUUUAAGGAGAAAGGCUACAGA